rnacentral:rRNA from 1 species
GACAGAGGAUGCAAACGUUGCUCGGAAUUACUGGGCGUAAAGCGCGUGUAGGCGGCUUGGUAAGUCGGACGUGAAAUCCCGGGGCUCAACCCCCGGAAGGGCGCUCGAUACUGCCGAACUUGGGUCCUGAAGAGGAGAGCGGAAUUCCCGGUGUAGAGGUGAAAUUCGUAGAUAUCGGGAGGAACACCAGUGGCGAAGGCAGCUCUCUGGGUCCCUACCGACGCUGGGGUGCGAAAGCAUGGGGGAGCGAACAGG